GGUCUGUGCUUGAACUCAAGGCUUCAUGCAUGCUAGGCAGGUACUCUGCCACUGAGCUACACUCUGAACUGCCUUUAACUUUCUUUUUUUUUUGGUACCGGUGAUUGAACUCAGGUCCUUGCGCUUUCACAGCAGGCAGCGAAACCACUGAGCUAAAUCCCCAGCCCACGCCUUUAACUUUCUACAGGAACCUAAUCCAUAUACAUAUGCUUGUAACUUGUAGCACAGAGCUGAGCCUCUGAACUCUAGAUUCUCACUGGUGGUCUCAGCUGUUCCAUACUAAUGAAAAAAUGUGAUCUCAAGCAACAACAUUAAGAGAUUUACCUGAAGCACAGCGGCAUAUCCUUUCCUGCCGAUCCUUGAGGUCAUCCUGGAAGAGGGUGACAGAUGGAUUGCUUUGGCACUUCUAGAAGUUCUCCCAACCAAUCAGGAUUUGGUGUUACCCCCUCAUCUUGUUAAGCAGCAGUGGGAUGAUAUCAGAUGCACAUCAGGAAAAAGAUAAUUAAGGCAGAUAAGCCUUGGAGAAUCUAGCAACAGUUGAAGAAACUGAAGAUAUUUAAUGUGGA
rnacentral:lncRNA from 1 species